rnacentral:rRNA from 1 species
AUUGGAUGUUCUUCCUGCUGUGGCGGUACGGAUCGGUGAACCGUAGCUGUGCUAGGCUUGGCGUUUGAACCGGCGGUGUUGUUGCGAAGUAGGGUGGCGGCUUCGGCUGUCGAGGGUCGAUCCAUUUGGGAACUCUGUGUCUCUGCGGCGCACUUGUGUGCUUGUGGUGGCAUCUCAA